rnacentral:rRNA from 1 species
UGAGGAAUAUUGCGCAAUGGAGGAAACUCUGACGCAGCCAUACCGCGUGUAGGAAGAAUGUCCUAUGGAUUGUAAACUACUUUUAUACAAGAAGAAACCCCAGUACGUGUACUGGGCUGACGGUAUUGUAAGAAUAAGCACCGGCUAACUCCGUGCCAGCAGCCGCGGUAAUACGGAGGGUGCAAGCGUUAUCCGGAUUUAUUGGGUUUAAAGGGUCCGCAGGCGGGAUUCUAAGUCAGUGGUGAAAGCCUACAGCUUAACUGUAGAACUGCCAUUGAUACUGGAAUUCUUGAGUGUGGUUGAAGUAGACGGAAUAUGUCAUGUAGCGGUGAAAUGCAUAGAUAUGACAUAGAACACCAAUUGCGUAGGCAGUUUACUAAACCAUUACUGACGCUCAUGGACGAAAGUGUGGGGAGCGAACAGG